GACGAACGCUGGCGGCGUGCUUAACACAUGCAAGUCGAACGGGCCUGUCUUCUUUUUUGGGGGUGGGUUGAGUGGCGAACGGGUGAGUAUCACGUGAGUAACCUGCCCUUCGGUCCUGGAUAACCGCUUGAAAGGGCGGCUAAUACGGGGUGGUCCGGUUGGUCCGCAUGGGCUGGUCGGGAUAGAUUCACUGUUUUUGGUGUUUCGGCGGGGGAUGGGCUCGCGGCCUAUCAGCUUGUUGGUGGGGUGAUGGCCUACCAAGGCGGUGACGGGUAGCCGGGCUGGGGGGGUGGGCGGCCACACUGGGACUGAGGUACGGCCCAGAGUCCUGCGGGAGGCAGCAGUGGGGGGUAUUGCACAGUGGGCGGAAGCCUGAUGCAGCGACGUCGCGUGAGGGAUGGAGGCGUUCGGGUUGUGAACCUCUGUUUCCGGUGGUGAAGGCCCUGUCCGUGUGGUGGGGUUGACGGUAGCCGGGGAUGAAGCGCCGGCUAACUACGUG
rnacentral:rRNA from 1 species